UGGGGAAUAUUGGGCAAUGGGCGAAAGCCUGACCCAGCAACGCCGCGUGAAGGAAGAAGGUCUUCGGAUUGUAAACUUUUGUCUUAUGGGACGAUAAUGACGGUACCAUAGGAGGAAGCCACGACUAACUACGUGCCAGCAGUCGCGGUAAUACGUAGGUGGCAAGCGUUAUCCGGAAUUAUUGGGUGUAAAGGGUGCGUAGGCGGGAUGUAAAGUCAGAUGUGAAAUACGUGGGCUCAACCCACGAACUGCAUUUGAAACUUACGUUCUUGAGUCAAGUAGAGGCAAGCGGAAUUCCCAGUGUAGCGGUGAAAUGCGUAGAUAUUGGGAGGAACACCAGUGGCGAAGGCGGCUUGCUGGGCUUGAACUGACGCUGAGGCACGAAAGUGUGGGGAGCAAACAGGAUUAGAUACCC
rnacentral:rRNA from 1 species